GAGGAAAGGUAUUUAGGGUAAGAGCCGAGUGACAAGACAAGCCCAGCCAUGGAAUGAUGAGGUAGAGGAGCACUGAAGCAGAGGACACAGCUAGGGUGGGAAGCAGCUGGCACAUGGGGAUAGCUGCAGUGUGGUGGGAGAGGAGAGCGGGGAAGCUGGGCCUUAUUAGGUUUAAUCCACAAGCCAGGCUGGAACAGCCAUCUCUGCAGUCAGCUUUAUGGAGUGCAGAAAAUCUAUGUCAGCAGCAAGUUACACAGCCGCAAUGAGAAGUUGCUAUUUGCUGCGUGCUCUCUGCACAGGCCUGGCCACCCGUGAACCAGCAACACCAUGGAAGGCAGCAUCCACAGGAAUCUGUACUGUGACGGGCAGAAAGGAGGCUGAUUUCCUACCUCUCGAACAGACUGGGUGAGAGCAACUGGAUUCAUUCCUGGUGACUGCCUGUGAGGGCAGUGCAGUGUGUACACAUCCCAAGAACAGAUUAUAGCUCUGACUUUAUGACGAAAUAUCUUCUGAUUGUUGAAGAAGACACCAUCAACACAUUCACUAUCAGGAAAGUAUGGCACCUCUAGAUCAUUCUACCGGCACUGAUGACGUCUCCCCCAACAACAUUUCCACAGAAGAAUUCCUCAAGAUUCCUCAGAACUUCUGGCUCCUACUUCUCUAGCUUUGUUUGGGUAAUUUCUUUCAUACUGAGAAAGAUAAAUUCAAUAAAAUCAUACUCAAUGAAA
rnacentral:lncRNA from 10 species